UCAGAUAACUAAAAUAAGUAGAUCAUAUUGCAUAAAUAAUAAUAAACAGAAAUAUAGGGGGCACGGUAGAGCUGCUGGUUAGGGUGUUGACCUCGCUGUUCUGGGUACCCCGGUUCAAAUCUCAGCCCCACCUGUGUGGCAUUUUAAUGUUAUCCCCAUGCCUGCAUAGGUUUUCUCCGGGCACUCCGGUUUCUUCCCACAUCCAAAAAACAUGCGUUAACUGGAGCGGUGCGGGCAUGCUGGAGUCUAUCCCAGUGAUCUUCAGGAAAAAGGCGUGGUACAUCCUGAACUGAUCGCCAACCAAUUGAAAGGCUUAUACAAAGAACCAUUCACACUCAGAUUCACACUUACAGGCAAUUUAGAGUCCUCAAUUUAAAACAGGUUUUGGGGAUGUGGGAAGAAACCCCAGUACCCGGAGAGAGCUUGUGCAGGCACGAAGAGAACAUACUAACUGCACACAGAUGAGGAACCCUGAAUUAGAAUCCUCAGAACUGGGAGACAGAUGUGCUAACCAGUCGUCCGCCAAGCCGUGAUUUACAUUAAUUUUGAAUACAAAAACAAAUCAAACCUGUAAUUUUUGGUUAUUUGAGAACUUUGCACAGUAAAUAAUUACAUUUGCAGCCAAAUGGGUUCACUUAAAUGGUAAUUUUGUGAUUGACUCAAAAUAAUCCAUCUAUAUCAGUACAAUGGAACGUUGAUUGAACAGAUGAAGAAGGGUGGGAGCGUUGCCCGAUAUAGCUGAUUGUCUAAUACAUUAAGUGAUUUCCAACUUUUAUAGAGCCAAGGCAAAUAUUUUACAAUUGAAAAAUCCCCCAGCACACUAAAAAAAAAUAAAUGUCACCAAAAAUGGAUAGAUUAUUUACAUACUUCCUACCGUCUAAUACAGGGGUCGGGAACCUAUGGCUCGCGAGCCAUACAUGGCUCUUUUGAUGGUUGCAUAUGACUCGCAGAGCCCUCAUAACGACAUAGCGUACAUGUGAUUUUUGUCGUGCGGGCAACGCAAAUUACGCAGAGGUAGUUUGUCCUAGUGGACUUGCCGUAGUUCACCGCACCAGACUAUGUGCACAGGCGCAACGGGGUCCAACGGAGAGCAGGCUGGCAAAUCAUAUUGAAUUGCGUUCACGAUGAACGAAUGGAAGUCUCAAAGCCUGCACAAAGCUUCAUCUAACGGCGUAUGAAAGACUAUAAAGCCAUCGGCAAGACCAGAAGUCACAAUGAAAUCAUCUCAGCUUUACAGCCGCCAAACUCACCGUUGUUCCCGGGGCUGACGAGAGAACCAGGCUUAAGAGAGCGGUCGAAGCUCGGCGGCGCUAAAGAGGACGGAGG